rnacentral:rRNA from 1 species
UGGGGAAUAUUGCACAAUGGGCGAAAGCCUGAUGCAGCGACGCCGCGUGCGGGAUGAAGGCCUUCGGGUUGUAAACCGCUUUUAAUUGGGAGCAAGCGAGAGUGAGUGUACCUUUUGAAUAAGCACCGGCUAACUACGUGCCAGCAGCCGCGGUAAUACGUAGGGUGCAAGCGUUAUCCGGAAUUAUUGGGCGUAAAGAGCUCGUAGGCGGUUUGUCACGCCUGGUGUGAAAGUCCAUCGCUUAACGGUGGAUCUGCGCCGGGUACGGGCAGGCUAGAGUGCAGUAGGGGAGAUUGGAAUUCCCGGUGUAACGGUGGAAUGUGUAGAUAUCGGGAAGAACACCAAUGGCGAAGGCAGAUCUCUGGGCUGUUACUGACGCUGAGGAGCGAAAGCAUGGGGAGCGAACAGGAUUAGAUACCCUGGUAGUCCAUGCCGUAAACGGUGGAUGCUGGAUGUGGGACCCUUCCACGGGUUCCGUGUCGGAGCUAACGCGUUAAGCAUCCCGCCUGGGGAGUACGGCCGCAAGGCUAAAACUCUAAAGUGAAUU